rnacentral:misc_RNA from 1 species
GAUGAAGAACGCAGCGAAAUGCGAUAAGUAAUGUGAAUUGCAGAAUUCAGUGAAUCAUCGAAUCUUUGAACGCACAUUGCGCCCGCUGGUAUUCCGGCGGGCAUGCCUGUUCGAGCGUCAUUUCAACCAUCAAGCCCCAGGCUUGUGUUGGGGACCUGCGGCUGCCGCAGGCCCUGAAAACCAGUGGCGGGCUCGCUGUCACACCGGGCGUAGUAGAUUUUAUCUCGCUCAGGGCGUGCUGCGGGUUCCGGCCGUUAAAAAGCCUUUUUUACCCAAGGUUGACCUCGGAUCAGGUAGGAAGACCCGCUGAACUUAAGCAUAUCAAUAAGCGGAGGA